GACGAACGCUGGCGGCGUGCUUAACACAUGCAAGUCGAACGGAAAGGCCCUGCUUUUGUGGGGUGCUCGAGUGGCGAACGGGUGAGUAACACGUGAGUAACCUGCCCUUGACUUUGGGAUAACUUCAGGAAACUGGGGCUAAUACCGGAUAGGGGCUCCUGCUGCAUGGUGGGGGUUGGAAAGUUUCGGCGGUUGGGGAUGGACUCGCGGCUUAUCAGCUUGUUGGUGGGGUAGUGGCUUACCAAGGCUUUGACGGGUAGCCGGCCUGAGAGGGUGACCGGCCACAUUGGGACUGAGAUACGGCCCAGACUCCUACGGGAGGCAGCAGUGGGGAAUAUUGCACAAUGGGCGGAAGCCUGAUGCAGCAACGCCGCGUGCGGGAUGACGGCCUUCGGGUUGUAAACCGCUUUCGCCUGUGACGAAGCGUGAGUGACGGUAAUGGGUAAAGAAGCACCGGCUAACUACGUGCCAGCAGCCGCGGUGAUACGUAGGGUGCGAGCGUUGUCCGGAUUUAUUGGGCGUAAAGGGCUCGUAGGUGGUUGAUCGCGUCGGAAGUGUAAUCUUGGGGCUUAACCCUGAGCGUGCUUUCGAUACGGGUUGACUUGAGGAAGGUAGGGGAGAAUGGAAUUCCUGGUGGAGCGGUGGAAUGCGCAGAUAUCAGGAGGAACACCAGUGGCGAAGGCGGUUCUCUGGGCCUUUCCUGACGCUGAGGAGCGAAAGCGUGGGGAGCGAACAGGCUUAGAUACCCUGGUAGUCCACGCUGUAAACGGUGGGUACUAGGUGUGGGGUCCAUUCCACGGGUUCCGUGCCGUAGCUAACGCUUUAAGUACCCCGCCUGGGGAGUACGGCCGCAAGGCUAAAACUCAAAGGAAUUGACGGGGCCCCGCACAAGCGGCGGAGCAUGCGGAUUAAUUCGAUGCAACGCGUAGAACCUUACCUGGGUUUGACAUGGAUCGGGAGUGCUCAGAGAUGGGUGUGCCUCUUUUGGGGUCGGUUCACAGGUGGUGCAUGCCUGUCGUCAGCUCGUGUCGUGAGAUGUUGGGUUAAGUCCCGCAACGAGCGCAACCCUUGUUCACUGUUGCCAGCACGUUAUGGUGGGGACUCAGUGGAGACCGCCGGGGUCAACUCGGAGGAAGGUGGGGAUGACGUCAAGUCCUCAUGCCCCUUAUGUCCAGGGCUUCACGCAUGCUACAAUGGCUGGUACAGAGAGUGGCGAGCCUGUGAGGGUGAGCGAAUCUCGGAAAGCCGGUCUCAGUUCGGAUUGGGGUCUGCAACUCGACCUCAUGAAGUCGGAGUCGCUAGUAAUCGCAGAUCAGCAACGCUGCGGUGAAUACGUUCCCGGG
rnacentral:rRNA from 1 species